CACUGAUUGUCAGGUUGUUUUUUUGGUUUUGUUUUUUUACCUAUUUGAAUAAUAAACUGCAUUGUUAAAGAGGGGUGGCCUGGGAGUCCAACCUCUCUCAUUGAAAGGUGUUAGACACUCUUCCACUCUAGUGAGAGGCCCCAGGCAGGAGUGGCCAUACUUGUUGCCACCAUCUUGGCACCUGUACAUUGGGGGGAUGGGUUCUGACUGUUGUUUGUGUUUACUCGCCAAACAACAGUUCAAAUUACCCACUGUUUUUGGAGUCCUUAGAGGGGGUACUGGAGAGUGCCCCUCCUGGGGACUUCCUUGUCUGCUGGGGGAUUUCAAUGCUCACGUAGGCGAUGACAAUGAGACCUGGAGGGGUGUAGUUGGGAGGAACGGCUCCCCUCGUUCUGAACCCGAGUGGUGUUCUGUUGUUGGACUUAUGUACUUGUCACAGAUUGCCCAUAACAAUCAGGCAUAAGGGUGUCCAUACGUGCUCUUGGCACCAGGACACCCUAGGCCGCCAUUUGUUGUAGUACCAUUGGAUUUGUGGCCACAUGUCUUGGACACUAGGGUGAAGAGAGGUGCGGAGCUGUCCACUGACCACUACCUGGUGGUGAGUUGGCUCUGAUGGUGGGGGAGGAUGCAAUAUUGCCUGGACAUUGGGAGCAAUCCCCCUGGAUUGACAGACUGGGGUGGUGUACUCCCUAUUCCAGGGGUCUGCAACCUGCGGCUCCAGAGCUGCAUGCAGCUCUUUAGCGCUGCUCUAGUGGCUCUCUGGAGUUUUUUCAAAAAUGUUUGAAAAUGGAAAAAGAUUGGGGUGGGAAAUAUAUAUUUUUGUUUUAAUAUGGUUGCUGUAGGAGGACAAACGUGACACAAACAUUCUUAACAUUUUCCAAUGCUAUAAAAAUGUGCAGAAUAAAUAUUAAAUUUCAACAUUUCUGUCAACAAAGAUUUGCGUCUUAGCCUGCAACGCACGUUUCUUCCAGCUGGGCGGGGCGCGAGGCAGGUGGGUGUUGUAAACAAACUGACGGGUGAUAAGUUAUCAAGGAAUUUUAUACCUAUAGUUUAGUUAUUUUUGUAAGACAAGUUAAUUCAAUUCAAUUGAUCUAAAUAGUACAAUUUACAACAAAUAUCCCAAGAUAUUUCACAAAAAAACCCAAAUAUAUCCAUUCAUUGUACACCGUGCAUUUCAGCAUAUGUUGUCU